AUAAUCUGGUCAGGAUCCACACUUUUCAGUGUACCUACUGCAGCAAUGACAGGUUGUUGCCCAUCUAUGUUCUUCAAAACAAUCAGAGGAACGGGUGGAAAGGAAAUUGGAGCAUAGACGGAGGCAAUAGAAAAUCGCCCAUGAUGUAAAAAUCUCUCCAUCUUAUGCUUAUUGCAAUUGAUGUUGUCAGAUGAAAAUAGUGGCCUAGCCGUAAACUGCCGGAAUCCAACAUUGAAAAUAAGAGGUUCCUUACUUCUGAUGGGAGCUUCAUAG
rnacentral:rRNA from 1 species